UACGUAGGUGGCAAGCGUUGUUCGGAAUUAUUGGGCGUAAAGGGCGCGUAGGCGGUUGGUUAAGUCAGCUGUGAAAGCCCGGGGCUCAACCCCGGAGGGUCGGCUGAUACUGAUUGACUAGAGUACGGAAGAGGUAGCUGGAAUUCCCGUUGUAGCGGUGAAAUGCGUAGAUAUCGGGAGGAACACCUGAGGCGAAGGCGGGCUACUGGGCCGAUACUGACGCUCAUGCACGAAAGCGUGGGGAGCAAACAGG
rnacentral:rRNA from 1 species